rnacentral:rRNA from 1 species
GGCUCUUCGAUCUUGUAUAAUGAAGAGUCGGACCUGCCCAGUGAAAUAUUUUAACGGCCGCGGUACUCUGACCGUGCAAAGGUAGCAUAAUCAUUUGCCCUAUAAUUGGGGGCUGGUAUGAAUGGUUUGACAAGAGCAAUUCUGUCUCUAUAUAAUUUUAUAAAAUUUAAUUUUCAGCUGAAGAAGCCUGAAUUUAAUUAAAAGACAAGAAGACCCUAUCGAGCUUUAAAGCAAUUAAAAGAUAAUUAAAUAUAUUUAUAAAUUUAUAACUUUUAAAAAUUUUGGUUGGGGCGACCUAGGAACAAGUAAAGCUUCUUUACAUGAAAAAAUACACAUAUCUUGAUCCAAAAAUUUUGAUUAAAGAAAUUAGUUACCGUAGGGAUAACAGCAUAAUCUUUUUUGAGAGCUCUUAUCGAAAAAAAGGCUUGUGACCUCGAUGUUGGACCAAAAUAUCCUGAAGAUGCAGUCGUCUUUAAGGGUUGGUCUGUUCGACCAUUAAAAUUUUACGUGAUCUGAGUUCAGACCG